rnacentral:rRNA from 1 species
CCCUUAGAUGUUCUGGGCCGCACGCGCGCUACAAUGAUGAAUUCAACGAGUUUAUAACCUUGGUUGAAAAGCCUGGGUAAUCUUUUGAACUUUCGUCGUGAUGGGGCUAGACCCUUGCAAUUAUUGGUCUCCAACGAGGAAUUCCUAGUAAACGCAAGUCAUCAGCUUGCAUUGAUUACGUCCCUGCCCUUUGUACACACCGCCCGUCGCACCUACCGAUUGAAUGGCCCGAUGAAAUCUUCGGAUUGAGACUUUGAUUUCUUCACGGAAAACGCUGUUUUAAAAAGUUGAUUAAACCUUACCAUUUAGAGGAAGGUGAAGUCGUAACA